rnacentral:lncRNA from 1 species
GUGCUGCGUGGAGAUCGCCGGCGGGUGUGGUGCGCCGCCGCGCCGCCCAACGAAUUGCUCCGGUUUUAUGCGGCGGGAUGCCCGGUCGAGAGAAAGAAAAAACCGACCGAGUCGAUUUCUGGGAUCUAUUGUGGAGAAGCCUGGUAUUCCUUGGCACGAUAAAAAAGCGGCGGCAAAACAAAUUGUUUUCCAGACAAUUGAUUAUCGGUCGGUAAGGGAUUCAGGUAUUUGCUGAUUUUAACUGUUGGUAAAAUAAAAACCAUAUGACGUUGGAACGAAAACUUUUUGUUACUAAUAUUGUUAUUAACGUUAUUUUUUAAGUAUUAAUUUUU